rnacentral:rRNA from 1 species
AAUGAACGUUGGCGGCGUGGAUUAGGCAUGCAAGUCGUGCGGAAAGGCCCCGCAAGGGGUACUCGAGCGGCGAAAGGGAUAGUAACACGUGGAUUACCUACCUCCAGGACGGGGAUAGCUGCGGGAAACUGCAAUUAAUACCCGAUGACGUCUUCGGACCAAAGGUGUGAUUCCGCCUGGAGACGGGUCCGCGUCCUAUUAGCUAGUUGGCAGGGUAACGGCCUACCAAGGCUCAGAUGGGUAGCGGGUGUGAGAGCACGACCCGCAUCACUGGGACUGAGAUACUGCCCAGACACCUACGGGUGGCUGCAGUCGAGGAUCUUCGGCAAUGGGCGAAAGCCUGACCGAGCGACGCCGCGUGCGGGAUGAAGGCCUUCGGGUUGUAAACCGCUGUCAGUGGGGAGGAAAUACUAGAGGGAACACUCUCUAGUUUGACCUAUCCGCAGAGGAAGGACGGGCUAAGUUCGUGCCAGCCGCCGCGGUAAUAC